rnacentral:lncRNA from 1 species
GAGAAGCUUGUAUGGGAAGUGUCAAGGUCAGCCGUCCAGUCAAAGUCAGGCGGCAGGGAAGAUCUGGUGGGUAAGCAGCACUCAGUUCACAUCUAACCUCAGCUUCACUGGCACCCGUGGUUUUGGAGACGAUGAAACACUUAUGAUUUGGUCAAGACUCAUGUCCACUCACAGCGGCAAUGGAAAACUGGUGCAGGAGGAAGCCUCAGCAAUGAUUUAGCACAAACAAAGAAACAGAACAGAGAGGCUACAUGGUUUUCCCAAGGCCACACAGCAAGUCCAUUCCAGGGCUCAGACCAACUGGCAGCUGAGCCCCCAAAGUCCACACUGUGUGGACUGGCUUCUGUAGUUUUCUCCUGGAAAAAAAAUAAAACAACUACAAAUAAAAUCUCAAUAAGGUCUGCAUUAAA